GAGAAAUUGAGAGGGCAGGGACGGUUCAACUGCACGCCUCGCAAUGGCCACCACCGCGGCGCCACGACUGACCACCAUCGCAGCGCCACGAAAGCCACCACCACCUACGCGACGAGCAAAUCCCCACUGCCGGCCCCGCAACUAGCCGCCACCGCGCACGGUACCACGACCAGCCACCGCCGCGGCGCCACGAGAAGCCACCGCCACGAACGACGCCUCUCUUGGAAAAAUGCCACGAUGAGGAGGUGUUAGACGAGCGAGCCGUGAAAAUUCAUCACAACCACAACCACAAACACCUCUAUCAAAGCAAGGGGAAGUUAGAGAUUCACAAUCAAGUCUUGCAUCACAACAAAGAAUCUCGAGCAACCGAAUAUUGCUGAAAGUGGAUAGAGACAGGUAAAUUUAUUUAAUAUUUGAAACAUAUAUUAUUGUGAAAGAAUAUUAAUUAUAGUUUAUUGAACAGUUUUAAUCCUUUGAAUGCUUCGAGAAAUUUGGUUAUAAUAUUCAAGAAAUCAUUUAGCGGUCCUUGGCCUACAUGGAACAGUGUCCCAAAUCAUGUCAGAGAUCGUUGGUUUGGGGAAUUUCAGGAUAAAUUGUCGACAAUCAUCAAGCGAGGCGUUAUGCCGAUGGAGAAGGAAUGAGGAUCAACAAUAAACGACGAGGAAGAAGAUGAUGCUAAUGGAGAUGAGGCCUUCAUGGAAAUGGUGCAUGCUCUACCUAAAGAAGUUGUUGAUAAUGCUUGGCUCGAGGCAACUGGAGGACCAAUUAAAGGAAGAGUUAAUGGUCUCGGAUCAGAGUCUGCUAAUGUUAUACAUCAUGUUAACUUUAUUUCUAAUGCUUCAACGAGUUCUUCAUCAACACCACCAACGUCUUCUCAAAACAUGGUUGAUAGUCCUACUUUCGAAGAAGUUGUUAAUCGAUUAGUGGAGCAAAAGAUUGCAGAUAUGCGUGCAUCUUUGGAAGAGCAACUACAAGCCGGUAUCCAAGCUGCCAUUCAGGCCGUGCACCAAAGUGAACCAAGAGGAUCUACUAGAGAUACACGGUCAGCAACAUAGUUAUGGGAUAAGAUUAAAAUUAAUAUUUUUAGAAGAACGUUAUUUUUUUCUAGAACCUGAUGUUGCACAUUCUAUUGAUAUUGUUUAGCUUAAAAUAUUUUUUGAUAACUAGUUUUCAGUCUUGCACUUUAGUAUUGUAUCAAAUGUUUAUUUUAUGAGCAUAUUUGGAUGUUUUGUUUUUGGUAAA